rnacentral:rRNA from 1 species
GACGAACGCUGGCGGCGUGCCUAACACAUGCAAGUCGAACGGAAAGACCCUGCUAUCGUGGGCUGCUCGAGUGGCGAACGGGUGAGUAACACGAGAGUAACCUGCUCUACAUUUUCGGAUAAGUUCACGAAACUGGGGCUAAUAUCGGAUCGGAGCCCCCGCUGCAUGGUGGGGGUGGGAAAGUUUGGGCGGUUGGGGAUGGACUCGCGGCUUAUUAGCUUGCUGGUGGGGUAGUGGCUUACCAAGGCUUGGACGGGUAGCCGGCCUGAGAGGGUGACCGGCCACAUUGGGACUGAGAUACGGCCCAGACUCCUACGGGAGGCAGCAGUGGGGAGUAUUACACAGUGGGCGGGAGCCUGAUGCAGCGACGCCGCGGGCGGGAUGACGGCCUUCGGGUUGUGAAAAGCUUUCGCCUGUGACGAAGCGUGAGUGACGGUAAUGGAUGAAGAAGCACCGGCUAACUACGUG